rnacentral:rRNA from 1 species
GAGACUGCCGGUGUUAAACCGGAGGAAGUGGGGAUGACGUCAAGUCCUCAUGGCCUUUAUGCCCAGGGCUACACACGUGCUACAAUGGGUGGUACAAAGAGAUGCAAUCUCGCAAGAGCAAGCAAACCUCAAAAAGCCAUCCUCAGUUCGGAUUGGAGUCUGCAACUCGACUCCAUGAAGUUGGAAUCGCUAGUAAUCGCGGAUCAGCAUGCCGCGGUGAAUACGUUCCCGGGCCUU